ensembl:lncRNA
GGUGUGUCACUUUGGGUGUGUCUUGAGGGUUAAAGUUAGAUGCAUUCAUCUGUUUACCUCACCUGGUUUUGACGAGCAAUAAAGGUAAGUCUUCCUUCAUCUAAGAUGACCACCCCUUCCCUUCCUCCCGAAGAAAGAGGCAUUAACCCCAACCUGUCCACCUGCCGAGAGUCUCAGUGCAACAAUCAUGGUAACUGUGUGACUCCUACGGGUGGUGGUACAGAUCUAGUAUGUAACUGUGAUCUGGGCUACAAGGGUGACUCCUGCGAGGACACGAUCAAUGGGGCAUUAAGUGUACCUUUGACCCUGAGCGUGUUUGCUGUCCUCGUUGGCCUGGUGAUCCUGGCUUUCAUCGCUGCCAAGUUCCGGCAGAAACAAAAGAAGAAGCGAAGGAAACUACUGGAAGAAAAAGUCUACAGCAAUACUGCAUAAUGUGGAUAACUGUCGAACAGAUAAACUUUGGUGAUCAAAUUGUGACUACCACUAUAAGAAUUAUGCUGCAACAUCCCACAGACUCGAGCAAUAACUUCACAAACUGAGUGCAAAGGCGUAUGGGAGAGUUACUUCUUAUACAGUAUUUUUCCAUUUGUACAAAAAGUAUCUAUCUCUAAUACCGCAAGCCACAUGCUGAUUCAUUUUGUGCCUCUUCUCUGAAACCAACUAAACUGAUGCCAAUAGAGUCAUCCAGGCAAAACGUGCAGUGCAAAUGUCUGUAUUUUAAUCAACAUCAGCUUCCUUGAUCUCAUUUCUCAAACACUAAGGCAUGCUUCUGCAAGUAGUUUAAACUCUGACUCUUGUUAGUAAAACAAUACAAAUGUUCACCUAUAAUUUACCUUCUCUGAGGGAGCUGCAGUUUAGCUUAAGUAAAGCAAGUGGUUGUUAUUUUGACAGUGAAGGCUCCAGACAGAUGACAUUUACGAUGAUUCUGUAGACCGUUUAAUGGGAAUCUGAUAAGCCAGAAGCUGAUUUGACUCCGUCCAGUUUAUAUAUAUUUUAUUUAGAAAAUAUGCACUUUUUUUCCACUCUUGUGGUUUUAUUUCAUUGCUAUGUUACGUACAGCAGUUGCUGCUGGUAUUAUAUUGUUUCCCUUGAAUUUCUUUCUUUCUUUUUUUUUAAGGCGUGCGUGUGUGUGUGUGUGUGUGUGUGUGUGUGUGUGUGUGUGUGUGUGUGUGUGUGUGUGUGUGUGUGUGUGUGUGUGUGUGUGUGUGUGUGUGUGUGUGUGUGUGUGUGUGUGUGUGUGUGUGUGUGUGUGUGUGUGUGUGUGUGUGUGUGUGUGUGUGUGUGUGUGUGUGUGUGUGUGUGUGUGUGUGUGUGUGUGUGUGUGUGCAUAUUAGUGCCUUUUAACACUUUGGGUUUUUGGGAAGUAUUUCUACCUAGUUCUAAGUGCCCUGCCUUUAAUUCUUUUGAUGCUGUGGUAACAUAAAUGCACCUGUACAUCACUGGCCUGCUUUCGUUCAGAUUUCUGUUCAUGCUUAUGAAAAUAAUGCAUUUUCAAUCUGUGCAGACACAAUCCUGCAUGGCUGUCAGUAACAUGCACAUAUUGUACAGAUGGUAGGAGAGCGGUCAGAGCUGAUUUCAGUCUUGGCAUUUUCAAAACCUGAUAGUAUGUGUGCUUUUAAAUGAGUUUCUGUGCCCUCUGAAUCUCAGGCCACAAAAUGAUUACCGCUCAAUAAACUUCUGGACCUGUAAAGAUGAAAGCUGCAGAGUAUCUUGGUACAGAAUAAGUAAUUAAGUUCCUCAAGCUUGUAGCCAGUGUUAAGUGCCUACUGUAUUGCUUCUUUAUUAUGUUCACAACCACCUAAGUUAUUAUAUUUGUACAGACCUUUUACCUGGUAGCUACUGGUGACCACAAACAUAAACUGGUCAUCAACAACACAGUAGCAAUAAGUUUUGUAAAUAUCUGCCCCUCUAACCACUGGGUAAAAAUCACAAAACGGUAAUGUUACUGUAGAUUUUCAGAUCUGCCAUAUACAAUACUCAAUUAUAUUAUCGUGUUUUUAUGUGUGCAUGAAUGUGCUGGACAUUUAUAUUAAUAUGACCAUUGUUGAUGAGCAGGGUUUCUCAGUCUAUGCAUCCUAUAGUGUCUUCCACUGGCUUGUAUACAGUUUGAAUUAUAUAGACAGAAGAGGAUGUCUCACUGUGUUGUUUACACUCACAGUAUUUGAAGAAAAGAAAUGCACAUUAACUUUUGUAUGCUUUCAAAAUAAUAUGAAAAAACUCUGUAAUAUUUAUAUGCAACCCCUGUAUCAGUGCACACAGAUUUGUAUCAAUAAAGUUGAUUAUUGGUG